GAUGAACGCUGGCGGCGUGCCUAAUACAUGCAAGUCGAGCGAACAGAUAAGGAGCUUGCUCCUUUGACGUUAGCGGCGGACGGGUGAGUAACACGUGGGUAACCUACCUAUAAGACUGGGAUAACUUCGGGAAACCGGAGCUAAUACCGGAUAAUAUUUCGAACCGCAUGGUUCGAUAGUGAAAGAUGGUUUUGCUAUCACUUAUAGAUGGACCCGUGCCGUAUUAGCUAGUUGGUAAGGUAACGGCUUACCAAGGCGACGAUACGUAGCCGACCUGAGAGGGUGAUCGGCCACACUGGAACUGAGACACGGUCCAGACUCCUACGGGAGGCAGCAGUAGGGAAUCUUCCGCAAUGGGCGAAAGCCUGACGGAGCAACGCCGCGUGAGUGAUGAAGGUCUUCGGAUCGUAAAACUCUGUUAUUAGGGAAGAACAUACGUGUAAGUAACUGUGCACGUCUUGACGGUACCUAAUCAGAAAGCCACGGCUAACUACGUG
rnacentral:rRNA from 1 species